rnacentral:rRNA from 1 species
CCAUCAACAGAGGGAAGCAAAACAGCGAUGUGGAGCAAACCCCUAAAAACGGUCUCAGUUCGGACUGCAGGCUGCAACCCGCCUGCACGAAGUUGGAAUUGCUAGUAAUCGCGGAUCAGCAUGCCGCGGUGAAUACGUUCCCGGGUCUUGUACACACCGCCCGUCACACCAUGGGAGCCGGUAAUACCCGAAGUCAGUAGUUUAACCCUUGUGGAGGACGCUGCCGAAGGUAGGAUUGGCGACUGGGGUGAAGUCGUAACAAGGUACC